rnacentral:rRNA from 1 species
UACGGAGGGUGCGAGCGUUAAUCGGAUUUACUGGGCGUAAAGCGUGCGUAGGCGGCAUGUUAAGUCGGAUGUGAAAUCCCAGGGCUUAACCUUGGAACUGCAUCCGAAACUGGCAAGCUAGAGAUCGGUAGAGGUUGGUGGAAUUCCCGGUGUAGCGGUGAAAUGCGUAGAUAUCGGGAGGAACAUCGAUGGCGAAGGCAGAACGACUGGCGGA